CCCAUCAACAGCAGUUACAAGAGAGCAGGACCUUACUAGUAAGGAGUGGAGCAUAGAAACACAUCAGUAGUCAGUAUUGUAUGCUGAGCAAUUGCUUAUGUGCACACUGGCAAAUGGUUGUCUGUAUGGACCUUCAUUGGCAUUAAUGCAGUGCUCAAAAGAUUAGUGCUUUGACCAGAUGUCUAAAGGACAGGACAGACAGGCUAAAGUAAUGAGAAGCACAUACCUUGAGAGCAGUUCACACAGUGACCUGUUGUGCAGAUUAUAGGUUUAUGGGGUGCAUAUGUGAAUCUUGGGGCUUAUGCAUAUUUUGCUUCCACCCUCAGAUAGUGGGAGAGACGCUUAAAAUUCCCUGUUCAUGCUUACAAAAGUUUCAAAACGGGUAAAAGAAUUUAAAUAAGGAACUUAAUAUAUUUUAAAUAAGAAAUCAGCUGUUUAAAAGAGCAGGAGAGUUUCUCCAGUUUAGUGGCUGCCACAGUGAAUGCUUUGCUCCAUUUAGGGUGGAUGCACUCUCGCUAAUCAGUAACUUUGGAAGCGCUGUGUUGUGGUGGAUAGUGAAAUUAAGCAAAUCACCCCUUUGUGUUUUAUAGAGGCAAAUUCAUUAAGUCUUAAAAAGUAAUCCUAUAGGGGUUUUCUGAAUAGCUGACAGCCAUUCAGACAACUAGCCUUUUCUUCGCUUUGGACAUUUGCAGCUUCCCGUUUUGCAGGGAGCCUUAUUUUGUAUAUGCAUGAUCAGCAGUGAAGACACUGUGCUUGCAGAACGUUGGUAAACUGAAGUCAUCCUCCACCCUUUUCCCCAUUUGUGCCCAUUUUUUAAAAGGGUUGGAUUUUGUUGGCCAGCCAAGGACUCCCAGAUUUCAUUUAUUUGAUGCAUCCGUAUCACAGGACUUCAUGUUUAUCCGCCUCUAAUGAAUAUGGAAAGAAUUGUGCGGUUGGCCAAUUUUACAGUAGAGUUGCCAGUCAUGCCUAUUAUUGUUCCUUAUCACACUCCCUCUGCCUCUCCUAUGUUGGAAGGCAGCCCACUACCUUCAGAGUAUCUUCUUGCCCUUGAGUCUUCAAGCUUUUGGAAAGCCUCUGGCUGGCUGCCCAUCCUCCUGGUCCCAUUCUCUCUUUCUGACUCCUAAAAAACCCCAACUGAUUAUCCUCCAAAAUUUCUCGCUUUGCAUCUAGGAGCAAAAAACCCAGAGUUCCACCUUAAAGAGUGAACAAAUGGAUUAUGGUGCAGUCAUUUGGGAACUAGGGCCCAGUCCAUCAGAUGCACAAAGCCUUUUACGGUUUUAAUUCUGCGUUUUGCACUUCCCUGAAGCAUUUUAUUGUAGUAUGUGCGUCACUUAGAAGGCAAUUGAUCUCAGUUUUGUAAGAGAUGCUUAUUAGUACUGUCUUCAUUACUGGGAGGGCAGAGAGGCUAUCAAAACUGAAAUGUUAACAUCAGAAGAGACCUGCUGGAUGAGGCCAAUGGCCCAUUUAGUCCAGCAUCCUGUUGCUGCAAUGGCCACCCUGAUUUGUGUAGGAAACUCACAAGAUGGACCUGAGCAGAAGAAUACUACUACUGCAGUUCAGAGCAACUGUGGCUCCUAGAAGCUGUCUGUGUGUGACAGCAGCCACGGACCACAAAACAGCUUCAAAUGGAUGGCUAAACCAGCUUCCUAUGAAAUAUCUCAGCUAACAACAACAAUACCAGCAAUAUAAAAAUGUUCACAUAAAAAAAAUCAAUUACACCAAUUUCCAUCUGCUGGAAAACUCAGACUUGCUCUGAAGCUUGCAAGCUACCUUCAGUCUUCGACAAUGUCAUGAUAGACCAAACAAUGAAUGUGUGAAUCAAUGCAGGAGAGAUAUCUGUCAGUGUUGCAUGAAUGUUGUCAUUGUGUAUGUAUGUAUCAAUCUUUUGUUGCUUUUGUCAGAAGCAAGGAGUAAUUUUCAUGGAGGUGUUUUUGGGGGUUCCUGCCCUAAAUAUUUUUGUGCGUUUCUGCAGAACUUCGGUCCCCCCCCAACACUGCCAAUAUCUCCAUCUUCUUCAUGGGUUGUGCCAUUUUGGCAACACAAGAAAUGGCACUCAUAGAUUGGACAUUAGAAAUAGAGGGAAUAUUCGUUUCUGCAUCAUCUUCCUUGUGUUCCAUUUUUGUGCUGUUAGCUGCUUUGAGUUCCAGAAGAAGAAGAAGAAGAAGAAGAAGAAGAAGAAGAUCUCUCCUCCCCUCCUUUGCAGCACACAAACAGGGGACAGUCCACUUCAGAUAAAUGCUGGACUCGGAGCACCCAGCAACUCCAAACAUACCUGGUAGUGCAAAAUUGUCUGGCUAUGUGUGUUAUUGCUUGAUAUAAACAAGGAGUAGAGAAUCUCUGUCCUGCUAGGUCAGGCAUCCCCAACCUUCGGCCCUCCAGAUGUUUUUGACUACAAUUCCCAUCAUCCCUAACCACUGGUCCUGUUAGCUAGGGAUCACGGGAGUUGUAAGCCAAAAUAUCUGGAGGGCUGCAGGUUGGGGGUGCCUGUGUUAGAUCUUAUUGGACUCCAACUCACAUCAGCCCUGACCAUUAGGCAUGCUGGAGGGAGUGAGAGCUGGAGUCUGACAACAUCUGGAGGGCCAUAGACACCAAACACCAGGAGGGAAGGGAAGGCUUGGCUUAUCUUCAUCAAGGGAGGACCUGGGCAAUCUUUUGUAGUAUGGUGCCCUGUGCGAGGCCAAAAUUUGGCGCCCCAAAGUGGCUCUCCUCGGUUAUGGACCUUCUCAGUUUUGUGCCCCCUUGGCUCAGCUCCCUCUGUGGGGGAAGCUCAUGCACCAUCCUAAAUCUGGCACUGACUCCAUCAUGGGCUGAGCGAGGCUCAUUCUCUUGCCGCGGACGUCCUCAAUCAAAACGGUUCCUUAGUAAAUUGGGGGGGGGGAUCCAAAGGAUGAGGACAGAAAAUGUCGCCUGAAUAAUCCUGGCACCACAGCGACAUAGUCAGUGAAUGAGGGAGUCUCAGAUUCAGCCCUGCCCCAUGAUAUUCUAGUUUUCUAGUGAGGAGGGAGGGUUAUUUUCCACACUGGCCCCCUAACCUAUAACAAUAUAUAGACAUGUUUAUAGUUGCAUAUAUACAGUGGUACCUCGGAUUAAGAACUUAAUUCAUUCCGGAGGUCUGUUCUUAACCCGAAACUGUUCUUAACCUGAAGACCACUUUAGCUAAUGGGUCCUCCCACUGCUGCCGCCGCCGCCCGAUUUCUGUUCUCAUCCUGAAGCAAAGUUCUUAAACUUGAGGUACUUUUUCUGGGUCAGCGGAGUCUGCAACCUGAAGCGUCUGUAACCUGAAGCGUCUAACCCGAGGUACCACUGUAUGUGUAUACAGUGGUACCUCGGGUUACAUACGCAUUGUCUUAAAAUGGUUUUAUAUAUGUAAUUGUUCUGUGUAUGUUUUUAUUGAACUGUAAAUCACCUCAA